rnacentral:lncRNA from 1 species
ACAGCAUAAAGAAACCUCCUUCAAAAGGUGCAGGCUCCCUGCUGCUAUCAACACAGCCCAAGCAUGGGCUGAGGACCACGAGCAGCAUGCGGUAUUAUGGUGAGGUGCUGCGAAACAUGUGGCAGAGCUGAGGAGAUUUUCGGCAAGGACAUUUUAAGCUCCCAGAUCCUUUACAGGGGAUGACCCCAGUCACCAGCAGAGCAUGAUGGGUGGAGAGUUAGCACACUGACAUCAGUUAUCCAGAAAAGGAGAGAUAAGUAGCAAAACAGAGGUGCAAAGAGCUGAGAGCAGUGAGUGCUUUGUGCCAUCACCCCUUCUGCAUCAGCACAGGAAGCUGCUAAUGUGAGGACCAGAAGCUCACUGCAUCCUAUUCCCUUCAGCAGCCCAUGAGGAAACCAGAAAAUGGCACCGUGCUGGUUCAAGUGGUAUGAAAAUGAAACAAGAGCUCAGAUGCACAUCUGCCACAGUAAAGAAAUGCAAGAGAACUUUCUUAAUAAAUUAAAUGCUAUAUUGGAUAAGAUUCCAUUUCAAUUGGAAACUCAUUUUAAAUUAACGACAAGUUUAAGAAGUUAUUAUCUAAGACUUAAUUGCAUAUAUUAUGUUUGUAGCCUUAGGCAUCACAGAUAUUCCUUUAAUGUUCCCUCCAAUAUAUUGGAUCACGGAGCAAUCACAAAAUACUGAGCUGGAAGGGACCUCUGGGGAUCAUGAAGUCCAAGCUCCUGGUUGAUUCUGCUUGAUGAAUGCCCCAAAGACAACGAAGGGAAGGAAAUUUCCCCAGUUCAGAAGUUUUGACUGUUGGAUGAAAAACACACAAGCAAUCUUUUAAAGAGGCCACACUCAGGCUGUGAAAAACCUCUACAAACCUUCUGGCAGCAGUAGGUUUGGGCCUGUUUGCAGGGAACUUGCAACAUUUUCCUUGUACUACAUUUGAAAGCAUAUGGGCUGUCAUUAGCAUGUUAAGAGUCCACUUUUGACAGCCACACAUCACAAAAAUAGAAGAUUUUCAAGACACAGCGCGAGUGUUUGGAACAAUAUCAGAUAUUUUCCUUUGAAACAUGAAAUGCCAGAUGCAUCCAAUAACCAGAGCCCAUGACCAUGACCACACAGGACCAGCACAGUAUCUCGUGACUCCUUUUACUCAGUUCCCCCUGUUAUUCAACAGCACCACGUUCUUCAAAUGUUUGUUUAACCUAGAAUGUUUGCUUAAUUAAAAGCAAUCUUUGCUAU